UAGUAAGAUUUAUUGUUUAUUACACAACUUGAUGUGUACAAAUUCAUUUGCCUUAUUUGUAAAAAAAUAUUCAGCUUUAAUUGAAAUCACAGAGAAACGCAAUGGAAGGUUAUGGGCCAAGGAACCGCAUUGACCAAUUUAGAGACUGGCAAGUUUAUAUAUGGACCAGUGAUUUAUAAUGGUAGAUCAUCUGGUACGUGUUACAUAAUGCGUUUCUGUUUUGAUUUUCCUUCUUGAGAAAUACCCUUUUUGUUCAUAUCACUAUUACAGGGAGCAACCAUGCAAGGUUGUGACCAAACAAUCCUGUAGAACAGUUGGGAGAAGAACUGGAAGGGCCAUUUAUACAUACGAACUGUUCAUUAUCAUAAAAGCCUGGAAUAAACAUAGAUAUGCAGAUCACCGAUACGUAAUUCACUGCACACAGCGAAUCUCCUGUUCGGGGCAGCUGUUGGGUGCUACAAUUGGACCCGUGGCUAAUCAUUUGUCCGCGCUGGCUUUUGCCUAUGUUGGCGGGUUUCUUCAAAUUAUUGAAGACAAUAUAGCUUCCUUCUUCUUGCUGAAUUCCUUAUAAUCCAGUUCUACAGAUGGCAUUAUCUGCUUUACAUGAUCAGCAUGCAGUCCAUUUACAAUUGUUUAAUUAUGUUUCCAAGUAAGCACGAUUUUUUUUUUCUUUCAUUUGUAACUCUCUUGGAUGAAAUUAGUUCUAUAAGAUCAUCAUAAAAAAAUAUGCAGAAACCCCACUUUUAACAAGUCCACACCAGCAGGUAAACUAUACUAAGUUGGACACAUGCUUCCAGUUUCUGAAACCUGUAAAAGUAAUUCUUGCUGUAUAAGUUUCUGAAGAAAGGCCAGUUGUCUUCCGUAUAAAUUAAAAAUUCAUCUUUGAUCAAUGUUCCAGGGAAAUACAUUGGAGGGCUGUGUGGCAAGCAACCAUAUAGGUCAAUUCAGAGACUAAUUGAAGAAAGAUCCGAUCUUUCAUUUGAGAUGUUCAUCAUCUCUGAAGCAUGAAGAAAGAUCCAAGAAGUUUUAUGUAUCUUGACAAUUUUGCAAUGUUGCGUACAAUGCGCAACAGUUUGGAGCUCUAGCAGCACACAUUGGAGAUCAUGCUCUUCUUUCAGGAAAUAACCAUGCUUGCGAAUUCGUAUUACCAGCUCAAUAUAUACUCAUUAUCUACAGUGCAAUACAUGAGAAGAGUUUUUGUCCAUGGAACUAUUCCCAGCUAAAUAGGUCACUGCACCUGUCCAGCAAAUAUAAUUAAUCUACAUCAAGUGAGGCUAAAGGUCAAACGAGCAAAAUCCCAGAUUGAUGAGCUAAAUAGUUCAUGUAGAAAAAUAUAUAUUGUGUCUAGGCGUGGCCACAAACCUGACGUAAAAUAUAGUCAUCUAUUUGCAGCUGUGGCCAGUAUGAAUGACAUGCAGCUAAUGUAAUAUUGGGUGGACCUUAUCAGGCUACUAUGAGCACUCUGUAUGACUAUGACAAACACGCAGCUAAUGUAAUAUUUCUAUA